UACGUAGGGGGCAAGCGUUGUCCGGAUUUAUUGGGCGUAAAGAGCGUGUAGGCGGCCCGACAGGUCCGUUGUGAAAACUCGAGGCUCAACCUCGAGACGUCGAUGGAAACCGUCGGGCUAGAGUCCGGAAGAGGAGAGUGGAAUUCCUGGUGUAGCGGUGAAAUGCGUAGAUAUCUGGAGGAAUACCGGUGGCGGAGGCGGCAUCCUGGACCGGCAUUGACGCUGAGGAGCGAAAGCCAGGGGAGCAAACGGGAUUAGAUACCCUGUAGU
rnacentral:rRNA from 1 species